CUCAAUGAUGUAAGUGGUGGUGCAUGGUCGUUCUUAGUUCGUGGAUUGAUUUGUCUGGUCUAUUCCGAUAACGAGCGAGACCCCAGCGUUCCUAGUAGGGCCAACAGCCCGACCAGCCGCAAGGCUGGUUAGCUGGCGGCUUAACAUAAGCUUCUUAGACGCAUCAGGGCCGAUAAGGUCCUUGAAAUGGGUUAAUAACAGGUCAGUCAUGCCCUUAGAUGUUCUGGGCCGCACGCGCGUUACAAUGGCAUGUAAAGCGAGUGCCGGUUAACAUGGCAUAUCCGGGGCCGAAAGGCUCUGGUAACCAUUAGUCCCUGCUUAGACUGGGACAGAUCAUUGCAAUUAUUGGUCUCAAACGAGGAAUUUUUAGUAAGCAUAGGUCAUUAACCUUUGCUGAAUG
rnacentral:rRNA from 1 species